CUUAUCAGGGAGGGGCUGGCCCAGCCCACCAGGAGCUUUCUGCUGUUUGCUGGUUCCUCUUUUCUCCUGAAUUUUUCUCUUUUCUCCUGAAAUUCCUGGCCCUGGAGCUGCGUUCCUGCUGUUCCAGGAUGGAGGUGCUUUGGUGCCUCGGGUCCAUGGUUGAUUCCUGGGUUUAUUUGGCUGCUGGCACAGAGGGAACUUUGGGGAUUCUGCUGCUGCUUGUUGGGGUGUAAAUCGUAAAGUUGUGGAUUCGUGGAAUGGUUUGGGUUGGAAGGAGCUUAAAGCUGACCCCCAGCCACGGCAGGAACAUCUCCCACUGUCCCAGGGUGCUCCAGCCUGGCCUUGGAUACUGCCAGGGAUCCAGCAGUUCCGUGUUCCCCGAGGAACAGAGAAUUCCCAGCACAAAUAAGGGAAGGAAGAAGGAGAACAGCUUGUGCUGCCCCCAGCGCCUCUCCAGGCUCUGAGGAUGGUUUUCCUCCUUCUCAAGGCCCAUGCAGCAAUAAAUUGUCUUGCAGUAUCAUGGGAAUGGUUAACCUUGAUUUGAGUUCAUGUACCACCUCCUUCCCUGCAAGGUCAAAUUCCAAAUAAUCCUCUGGAGAGGAAUGAAAUAAAGUCGGGGCUGCUCCCUGGGAUACAAAGA